GGGGUAGUAAAGGUUUCGACAGGGGUCUUGCAGCUGGAGAAGCUAUCCGUUACGACACGUAAAUCGCAAAAUUUAAACUAAACGCUGAAGAUAAUACUCAGUUAGCACUUGCAGCCUAACCGCUGCUGGUGACGCCGCCUCAGGCGGCUCGUUCGCUCCGGGACACUCACAUUCCGGAAUCCGGGCGUCGACUAUGUGAGAAACGACACGCGGUAAGCUUUGCCCGCGCGGGCGUAUGAUGAAGCUACUCUGAGCAGCUGAUUGUCCGUUAUCUGCUGCAUCAGGGGAACAGGUGGGGGAGAGCCCCGCCGCAAAAACGGACUAUGAUAGUAGAAGGACAGGGAAUGGGCUUUUGGACGCGGGUUCGACUCCCGCCUACUCCAC
rnacentral:tmRNA from 1 species